rnacentral:rRNA from 1 species
CAAUAGCGUAUAUUAAAGUUGUUGCGGUUAAAAAGCUCGUAGUUGGAUUUCUGCUGAGAACGACCGGUCCGCCCUUUGGGUGUGUAUCUGGCUCUUUCUUGGCAUCUUCUUGGUGAACGUUGCUGCACUUGACUGUGUGGAGCGCUACCCAGGACUUUUACUUUGAGGAAAUGAGAGUGUUCCAAGCAGGCAAUUGCCGUGAAUAUGAUAGCAUGGAAUAAUAGCACAGGACUCUUGGUUCAAUGCUGUUGGUUUGUUGAACUAGAGUAAUCACAAUAAGGAUAGUUGGGGGUAUUCGUAUUUAACUGUCAGAGGUGAAAUUCUUGGAUUUUUUAAAGACGAACAAUUGCGAAGGCAUCUACCCAGGAUGUUUUUGUUGA